rnacentral:sRNA from 1 species
GACACAGCGAAGAUGGCGUCGCCCGGCUGCCUGUGGCUCUUGGCUGUGGCUCUCCUGCCAUGGACCUGCGCUUCUCGGGCGCUGCAGCAUCUGGACCCGCCGGCGCCGCUGCCGUUGGUGAUCUGGCAUGGGAUGGGAGACAGCUGUUGCAAUCCCUUAAGCAUGGGUGCUGUUAAAAAAAUGGUGGAGAAGAAAAUACCUGGAAUUUACGUCUUAUCUUUAGAGAUUGGGAAGACCCUGAUGGAGGUAAGGCGCUUCACAGCUGUUCCUUUGAAGGGUUGCUGACUGAUUUCAUAGCAUAUACUGUUAAAAUGCUUUGCCUUGUGUUUUCAGCAGCAGAUCAUACAAUGAUACUUUCACCCUUGAGUGGCUCAUGUGAGGAUACCAACCUAAAUGAGUUUACCUCUUAGAGAAGAUGUCAGUGGUUGUUUUCAGUCCCAUCCUCUCACUUCUCUCUGGCUUCUUUUUUAGGACGUGGAGAACAGCUUCUUCUUGAAUGUCAAUUCCCAAGUAACAACGGUGUGUCAGACACUUGCUAAGGAUCCUAAAUUGCAGCAAGGCUACAAUGCUAUGGGAUUCUCCCAGGGAGGCCAAUUUCUGAGGGCAGUGGCUCAGAGAUGCCCUUCACCUCCCAUGAUCAAUCUGAUCUCGGUUGGGGGACAACAUCAAGGUGUUUUUGGACUCCCUCGAUGCCCAGGAGAGAGCUCUCACAUCUGUGACUUCAUCCGAAAAACACUGAAUGCUGGGGCGUACUCCAAAGUUGUUCAGGAACGCCUCGUGCAAGCUGAAUACUGGCAUGACCCCAUAAAGGAGGAUGUGUAUCGCAACCACAGCAUCUUCUUGGCAGAUAUAAAUCAGGAGCGGGGUAUCAAUGAGUCCUACAAGAAAAACCUGAUGGCCCUGAAGAAGUUUGUGAUGGUGAAAUUCCUCAAUGAUUCCAUUGUGGACCCUGUAGAUUCGGAGUGGUUUGGAUUCUACAGAAGUGGCCAAGCCAAGGAAACCAUUCCCUUACAGGAGACCUCCCUGUACACACAGGACCGCCUGGGGCUAAAGGAAAUGGACAAUGCAGGACAGCUAGUGUUUCUGGCUACAGAAGGGGACCAUCUUCAGUUGUCUGAAGAAUGGUUUUAUGCCCACAUCAUACCAUUCCUUGGAUGAAACCCGUACAGUUCACAAUAGAGCUCAGGGAGCCCCUAAUUCUUCCAAACCACAUGGGAGACAGUUUCCUUCAUGCCCAAGCCUGAGCUCAGAUCCAGCUUGCAACUAAUCCUUCUAUCAUCUAACAUGCCCUACUUGGAAAGAUCUAAGAUCUGAAUCUUAUCCUUUGCCAUCUUCUGUUACCAUAUGGUGUUGAAUGCAAGUUUAAUUACCAUGGAGAUUGUUUUACAAACUUCUGAUGUGGUCAAUUUCAGUUUUAGAAAAGGGAGUCUGUUCCAGAUCAGUGCCAGAACUGUGCCCAGGCCCAAAGGAGACAACUAACUAAAGCAGUGAGAUAGAUUCUAAGGGCAAACGUUUUUCCAAGUCUUGCCAUAUUUCAAGCAAAGAGGUGCCCAGGCCUGAGGUACUCACAUAAAUGCUUUGUUUUGCUGGUGAUUUAACCAGUGCUUGGAAAAAUCUUGCUUGGCUAUUUCUGCAUAAUUUCUUAAGGCUGCCUUCCUCUCUGAGUACGUUGCCCUCUGUGCUAUCAUCUUAUCAAUUAUUAGACAAAUCCCACUGGCCUACAGUCUUGCUUCUGCAGCACCCACUUUGUCUCCUCAGGUAGUGAUGAAUUAGUUGCUGUCACAAAAGAAGGGAAGUAGCACCCAAAUUAAGUUGCUUAAGAGAGGAAAUGUACAUCUUGUAUAACUUAGGGAGCGAAGAAAAUGUAGGCACGAAAGUGAAAAGUGAGGCAGCUAGUUCUUCCUAUACCAUUCUCGACCAACCUGCCCUUUCUUAAUAUGACUAGUGGUCUUGAUGCUAGAGUCAACUUACUCUGUUGCUGGCUUUAGCAGAGAAUAGGAGGAACCAUAUGAAAAAGAUCAGGCUUUCUGACUUCCAUCCCCAAAACACAUUUACCAGCAUACUCCAAACUGUUUCUGAUGUGUUCCAUGAGAAAAGGAUUGUUUGCUCAAAAAGUUUGGAAGAUACUACACACUCCCUUUCUCCUUCUGGAGAUCAACCCACAUUAGAGUGUCUAAGGACUCUUGAGAAUUCCUGUUACAGUAAACAAAACUAACGUAAUCUACCAUUUCCUACACUAUUUGAGCAUGGAAAUCAUAGUCCCCACUCUGUGAAAACUUAACGCUUUUUGGAAGACAUUUCUGUAGCAUGUCAGUUUGGAGAAAUGAUGAGCUACGCCUUGAUGAAAGAACCGUGUUGGUGCUGCUAAGUUUAGCCAUUAUGGUUUUUCCUUUCUCUCUCUUAAGCCUUAUUCUUCAACUAAAAGAUGAGGAUUAAGAGCAAGAAGUUGGGGGGGGAUGUGAAAAUAAUUUUAUGAGGU